rnacentral:rRNA from 1 species
GAUGAACGCUGGCGGCGUGCCUAAUACAUGCAAGUCGAGCGAACGGACGAGAAGCUUGCUUCUCUGAUGUUAGCGGCGGACGGGUGAGUAACACGUGGAUAACCUACCUAUAAGACUGGGAUAACUUCGGGAAACCGGAGCUAAUACCGGAUAAUAUUUUGAACCGCAUGGUUCAAAAGUGAAAGACGGUCUUGCUGUCACUUAUAGAUGGAUCCGCGCUGCAUUAGCUAGUUGGUAAGGUAACGGCUUACCAAGGCAACGAUGCAUAGCCGACCUGAGAGGGUGAUCGGCCACACUGGAACGGAGACACGGUCCAGACUCCUACGGGAGGCAGCAGUAGGGAAUCUUCCGCAAUGGGCGAAAGCCUGACGGAGCAACGCCGCGUGAGUGAUGAAGGUCUUCGGAUCGUAAAACUCUGUUAUUAGGGAAGAACAUAUGUGUAAGUAACUGUGCACAUCUGGACGGUACCUAAGCAGAAAGCCACGGCUAACUACGU